UGGCUCAGUGGAUAGAGCGUUGGCCUGGGGACUGAAAGGUCCUGGGUUCGAUUCCCAG
rnacentral:tRNA from 1 species